AUGGGUGGGCGAAAGGGUUGAGAUCUUGUGAGGGUGAUCUAACUCCAGAAACCCAUCCUCAGUUUGGAUUGCAGGCUGCAACUCGGCUGCAUGAAG
rnacentral:ncRNA from 1 species